rnacentral:lncRNA from 1 species
AAUUGAGAGGAGACUACCCCAAAUUCAUAAGGGAUGUGAUAUUAACAUAUAGUCUAAAAUAUAUAAAUAAAUUAAAUAUAGUCUAAGACUAUAUUUUAUUGUGUAUAUCUAAUUAUCUAUAACUACUCGGCUGUACAUAGCGAUACCAUGAGACUGAUACCAAAUUUUUGCACAUUUCUCAUACUAUAUCCUUUAUAAUAGACAAAGGAUGAAUAUGAACCUAAUCUUUAGAAGAUAUUCACAAUCACUAAUAAUCAAAAAUUCACACAAUAAAAAGAGCUUAAAUCAAUGUAGACAUUGUAUCUAUUAUAUAAAUGCAGUUUAUGAAAGAAACAUAGUAAGUAACUCAGGGUUUGUUAUCUGGCAGCAAUUGCAGGAGUAACAAGAGAUGGCCACGGAGGGAGUGAGAAGUCGGCGAACACAGAGGAGGAAGAGAAGCACCAGUGCUGCAAGAGCAUCAACAACUGCUCCACUUCCAUGAAGUGGGCACUCUAAACUGCAAUUUAGCUUGUACCAUUCUGCAAACAUGUACACCUGAAAACAAAGAUGAUAUGAUAUCAAUUAAAAAAAUAAGCAAGUUUAGAUUAUCAUUCUUUUAAAUUUUAGAGAACACACAAAACAAAUGAGGUCCCUAAGCACACUCAUAUAAAGAAGUACAUUAUAGGAUAACAUAAUACUCCCUCAGUUUGACUUACGGUUAAAUUGACCAUUUUCAAAUCAAUAUAUCUUAUUAUUCUUUUAUAUAUAUGUAAAUAGUCUAUAAACAUUAUAAACUACAUACAAUUUAGUAUUAAUCACAAUGUUUGCUUUUUUGAAAAUCUAAAUAUAUAUGUUUCGUUAAUUAUAAAAAUGGUCAAUUUGACCAUAAAAGUGAAUGGAUGACUUUUAUCUUGGGACGGAAGGAGUAAUAAUAUUAAAAUAUUUUCUAAACGUACUCAUGUUGUCCACAUAAGAAUACCAAAUUAUGAAGAGUUUGAAUACUCAUAAUUGUCAAAAACUCGACUCGCAGCUACUAAUGUUGAAUUAGAUUAUGACUGAAAAUGAAGGUUUCUACUUUUAAGAAAAAAAUGUACUCCAUUUUUCAAAAAAAGAUUGCCAUAAGUGAACAGGCUCUGCUCUGACAAUAUUAAAAAUAGAAUACACAGCAAGUACAUUGUUUCACAGUUCACACACAAAUGCAAAUACUGAGUACUCUUUAGAUGGGUAGUGAUAUAUGUCUAUCAACAUGUUUGAUUAUCAUCAGUAGGAAAUAUGCAAUUGACAUUCUCACAGGUCCAUAGUUCUAAUGCAAGGACAAAAUUUCCCAUCUCUCCCACCACAGUUGUAGGCGAGCAACUAAGCAUAUCAAUUAUAUUGCAAAUUUAAAUCUUCAUUGUCAUUACUUGCCUUUUAAACUUAAUUAAAAGAGAGAAUAUCAUGCAAAGAAAAUUUAGAAACACUUAACUCUUUGAUUGGCAUAUUCAAUUUCAAAACAAACCACAAAUGAGGGAAAGUUUCAAGCAAUUAAUCCACAAAUAAAAUCGUACUAAUAAUAUAGUUGGUUAAAAAGAGCAUUUGAAAAAUCAUGUCAAAAGAAUCUAAUUUGUUAGCUUAAAAUUUACCAGUCAUCACCACAUCAUCAUCAUCAUCAUCAUCAUCAAGUCAUCCCAUCCUCCUCCUCACAUCUCUCUACUUGUAGUUUUCCGAGCAAUAAUUCAAAAGGGAAACAGGUAGAUAUAGCAAAUAUACCCUGGUGCAACUUGCAGUUUUCCUCAUUGACAUAGCAAAUAUACAAUACAUAUGUCUGAUCAAUAAUACAUAUGUGUGUUUGUGCGUGUAGAAAAAGAUAAAUAAACAUACAAAUUAUGCAACUUAGGAUCAACAAAAGUAGGGGAAGGGGUGUAUAUGCUACUGCUUCUUUUUUUAUUUUUGCAAAUUUCUGCUUAUCUUUGUUACAUGCAUCAUUGAGAAAAAUAAAAUAAAAUAUUUAAUUAUAAUAUGAUCAUUAUCAUAUAUGUCUUCCUUUACGUGAAGGAAGCAUUAGCAUCAAGAAAAGAUAAUAUGAUGGGGAACAUUGCCUGAAACAUGCAGUUCGUACCCCUUGCUUCUCUGAUGCAGUAGUUUUGUCAAUUUUGAGAUAUCGUGUAGAACAUUAUUACCUACCAUAAAGUUAGUGCCAGAGUUACCAGAACAUUACUCAAGUAUCUUCUAUGAAAUUUAGUUUGAUUGAAUUUAAAUUCUAAGAAAAUUCCUAAUUAUAAGCAAUUAUUAUAUAAAGUUCUCAUUAUGUAUCACGUUUUAGGCAAUGGAGAGAGUACCUUGUACCCAUUUCAAUUCUACGUGCAAUGAACUGACUACAAACUGUAAUUAAUACGACUUGACAAACAAAAUCUCUCUUUUUCCCUUUGGCGGGUACGGGGGACUUUGUUUAGAAACCAAAUUCUACCCUUUCUUGAAUUUUAUUUAUUUAUUGGUUUGAACGGUAAAGAGUAUUUUUGGGCCAAUUUACAUGUCAACGAAAAUCAUACUUUCCACAUAAGCCUGAUGCAGUCGGGAGAAUUCUCCAAGGUGCUGAACCUAAGGUACAAACUUAGAGUCAUGGAAAGGAACAAACCUCAUUAACCACCAGUAAUUCCUAUGACUUUCCAAGCAAUGCUUUUCUGUUUCUCUGCUACAGAUAAUUUGGCAGCAUCCACUCCUGCAAAAUUGCCAUUGAAAACACAGAUUUAUACAGCAAAACUUGGGUCAUAACUGUGCAAAUUGCGAGCAAAAGAACAGAAUUGUAAAACUUGAUUGUGAGAAAACAACAAAUAGCAAUAAACAAUUAAAAUAAUUACAUGAAAUUCAGUGAAACUUUGAAUACAUGAAAUUUAUUAAAGCUAAGAAAAUAAUGGGUUGAUUUAGAUCCCAAAAUAUUCAGAAAUCAAAUUAAACAAAUAUGGAAAUAGCCGUGGUUACUGACCAUAUUUAGUUUGAUUGAAUUUAAAUUCUAAGAAAAUUCCUAAUUAUAAGCAAUUAUUAUAUAAAGUUCCCAUUACGUAUCACGUUUUAGGCAAUGGAGAGAGUACCUUGUACCCAUUUCAAUUCUACGUGCUAUGAACCGACUACAAACUGUAAUUAGUAUGACUUGACAAAUAAAAUCUCUCUUUUUCCCUUUGGCGGGUACGGGGGACUUUGUUUAGAAACCAUAUUCUACCCUUUCUUGAAUUUUAUUUAUUUAUUGGUUUGAACGGUAAAGAGUAUUUUUGGGCCAAUUUACAUGUCAACGGAGAUCACACUUUCCACAUCAGCCUGAUGCAGUCGGGAGAAUUCUCCAAGAUGCUGAUCCUAAGGUACAAAUUAUAGUCAAGGAAAGGAACAAACCUCCUUAACCACCAGUAAUUCCUAUGACUUUCCAAGCAAUGCUUUUUUGUUUCUCUGCUACAGAUAAUUUGGCAGCAUCCACUCUUGCAAAAUUGCCAUUGAAAACACAGAUUUAUACAGCAAAACUUGGGUCAUAACUGUGCAAAUUGCGAGCAAAAGAAUAGAAUUGUAAAACUUGAUUGUGAGAAAACAACAAAUAUCAAUAAACAAUUAAAACAAAUAUGGAAACAGCGGUGGUUACUGACCAUAUUUCACGGUAAGAGAGAAAUUAAGACAACCGUACAAAGUAAACGCUUAGAAUCCAAGCAAUAAAUUGAGUUCGAAACCCUAUAUGCUUAGAAAUCGAAGGGGAAGAGGAUGAUACGGAUAUCCUAGAAGUCCGAUCUGUAAGCUUCAACAAUUGAGAGAGAUAUAUAGAGAGAGAUGAUGAUGGUGUGACAGGCAAACCCAGACCAAACCCGAAGCCCUUUACUUCUUAGGAGGUAUAUUGAAGAAAUCGAAGGAGGGAGAAGGGAGGGAGUACUCAAAUGAGAGGGGAAAGGAAAGAGGGAAAUCGAAGGAGGUAUAUUGCCCUUUACUUUGUUAAGCUUGGUUUGUUAUUUUUUGAAGGGUUAGAUUUAUCCCAACUUUGGACGGUUCAGAUCUUUUAAUAGGUUGAUUCACCAAGAAAAAUUCACCUUGUCAGUUAAUUCACCAAGAAAAAUUUUAAUCAACCAUGCAAACAAAUGAUAGUCAAAACAUUAAAUUUUGUCACAUACUUAACAUUUUGAACACACAAAUGUUUCAAACAGAGUUUCGUUCAAAUAGUAAAAUGAAAUUUUUAUAUCUAGAGUAUACAACAAAAGUAUGACACAAAAACAUCACUAUCACUUGAUUAAGCUCCAAAGAAACAAUCACCAUGAAUAACAAUCCAUUGGCCAAUAAGGUAGAAUUCCAAACCCUCAACUUGCAUUUUUUUUCUUUUUUGUAUAAUUAUUAGUUUUCAUUUAAUGUUGAUCAUAUACAUCUCUCUGUGACUUUAUUUUUACAGGUUGAUCAUAUAUAAUUUUGCACCAAUAUAUUUAUAUCCAAUUGCUAAGCAGAAACCAGGUUAAAAACCCAAGUUACUAAAAAUUACUAAAAUUAAGCUGCUCAGAUAUUCCUAAUUAAGCACUAUCAAUUAUACAACAAUUCAUUCAAUCAAUCAAUCAAACAUUUGAACUACAUAAAUUAACAAAAAAAUAGAAUUGAAUUGAAACCCACAGGCACUGCAACUAUAGUCAAAAUUAAAGAGAGAGAAAGAAAAGAAAAACCACAUGCCAAAAAUUCAAACAUAACAUCAUACACACAUAUAUACAUAUCAAAUAUUAGGUCUAGGAUUUGGUACCUAACAGUAAUCAAAGGAAUAGUAGCGAUCAAAGGAGUAGGAGUAGCAGGAGUAACAGCCGCGGAGGGGAGGAGGGAGAAGCCAAGAAAUUGACGAUCGAGCGCAGAGAGAGCAGAGUAGAUUUUCAAUUUUAGUCGUCGGGUAUUAGAUGUAGAAUGGGUUAGGGUGGAGAGGUAUAAGGUUUGGCAAGGUAUAAGGUGGAGAGUAUCGCAAGAAGCAAAUGACUGAAACCUCCGAGUUUUCCGUAUAAGGUGGAGAAAAUGAGAAGCAGAAGCAAGGUAUAAGCAAAUGAGAAGAAGGAGAAGAAUAAGGCGUGUUCUGUUUUAAUAUUUUGAAGGGUUAGAUUUAUCUCAAUUUUUUGACGGUCAUGAUCUU